rnacentral:rRNA from 1 species
UACGGAGGGUGCGAGCGUUGUCCGGAAUCACUGGGCGUAAAGGGCGCGUAGGUGGCUCGUGAAGCGUGCGGUGAAAGUCCGAGGCUCAACCUCGGAUCGGCCGUGCGGACUCGCGGGCUCGAGCGUUGUAGAGGCGGGUGGAAUUCCGGGUGUAGCGGUGGAAUGCGUAGAGAUCCGGAGGAACACCGGUGGCGAAGGCGGCCCGCUGGGCAACUGCUGACACUGAGGCGCGACAGCGUGGGGGAGCAAACAGG